rnacentral:rRNA from 1 species
GAUGAACGCUGGCGGCGUGCCUAAUACAUGCAAGUCGAGCGAACGGACGAGAAGCUUGCUUCUCUGAUGUUAGCGGCGGACGGGUGAGUAACGCGUGGAUAACCUACCUAUAAGACUGGGAUAACUUCGGGAAACCGUAGCUAAUACCGGAUAAUAUUUUGAACCGCAUGGUUCAAAAGUGAAAGACGGUCUUGCUGUCACUUAUAGAUGGAUCCGCGCUGCAUUAGCUAGUUGGUAAGGUAACGGCUUACCAAGGCAACGAUGCAUAGCCGACCUGAGAGGGUGAUCGGCCACACUGGAACUGAGACACGGUCAAGACUCCUACGGGAGGCAGCAGUAGGGAAUCUUCCGCAAUGGGCGAAAGCCUGACGGAGCAACGCCGCGUGAGUGAUGAAGGUCUUCGGAUCGUAAAACUCUGUUAUUAGGGAAGAACAUAUGUGUAAGUAACUGUGCACAUCUUGACGGUACCUAAUCAGAAAGCCACGGCUAACUACGUG